ACAUGAAGCUGGAAUCGCUAGUAAUCGCGAAUCAGAAUGUCGCGGUGAAUACGUUCCCGGGUCUUGUACACACCGCCCGUCACACCAUGGGAGUCGGAAAUGCCCGAAGUCGGUGACCCAACCAAACGGAGGGAGCCGUCGAAGGCAGGUCGGAUGACUGGGGUGAAGUCGUAACAAGGUAGC
rnacentral:rRNA from 1 species